UCAAUUUAGUUCCCAAACACACCGCAGAAAUAAAUAAACAAAUGGCGUUGAUACAAGUUAAGCAAAAAUGGCGCAGUACUCAAAACAAAAAUACGCGCGUUGGUGUACUUGUUAAUGUCCUUGAUAAGUUUAUUUAAUCAAGAUGAUAAGUACACGUCGUUUAAUAAGCAUAAGUAUAGAUUUUGCACAAUCAUUAAAUCAUUACAUAUUACGUCUGCGGGUCGCGUCGAGUUUUGCGCGUAAUUACAUCAUUUGACUCCGGUCGAAGUUUCGGUAAUGUGUUUUUAUUAUUUAUAGACGCGGAAACUGGUUUGAAUUACGAAAAAAGUGCUUGUUUGCAUUAAGUAACGUUUUUUGGUUUGCUCGUUAGUUCUAAUAAGUGUCGAAAUAUAAAAACAGCAAGUGCGAUGUUUCGCGAUUGUUAAAAUGUGUUUUCAUUGUGAGUUACACCUUUGAUUUGCGCACAAUCAACAACUUUAUCAAUUUAUGUAUAAUGUUUAGGAUAUAUUAGGAUAUAUUAAUCAUGGAAAAGGUUUUAAACGUGAUGAAAAGUAGUUUUGUAAGUGUUUGUGCCGUUUUAUUGGAUAUUCCUGUUAAUAACUACCGCAUUACGAUAAAGUAUGCCAAGCAAAUCAAGAACUACCUCAAUUUACGAUGAUCUAAACAUUUUACGAGCUGCAAAUGUUGCGGGUUAUGUCAUUAUUUCAAGAGAAAUUCUCAUACUAUUCCUUAAAAAAAGUGUAAAGUUGAAAAUAUAAGUGAUGUUAAUGAUAAUAAUUAGUUUAUUAUUAACUUAUAAACAACUUGUCACCACAUAAUUACCAUAAUAAUUAUAUUUACCAUCAAAAGAUUUGUUAAUCUUGAUAUGAAACAUAUAUGCAACCCAAAAUACACACAUGUACAAAGCUUAUAUAA